rnacentral:lncRNA from 1 species
UCACCGUGAGAAGCCCAUGUAAGAUAACCUCUUCCUUUACACUUCAGUUUUCGGCCAAAGUACGUUUUCCCUGAAGUUGUUAUUUCAAUUUUUAUGCUGAUUGUUCAUGGAUUUUGAUACAUACAUCUUUUCUGGGUAAACUGGACUGAAAUUUCUUGGGUUUCUGACAAUUUUGGGACUGAUAAUGAUCUUAAUUGAGCAAAAGAAGUUGGUGAAAUUUAAUGCCCCCAAUCUGUUCGAUGAAAUGC